UUUCAGCAAAGAAAACAAAGAGGGCUCAAAACUCCCAAUACAGCGAAGCCAAUUAGGACAACGGUGAAACAAUAAUUAGUGAAAGUAAUGCCAGGCCGAGGCAUCCGCCUAGUGUUAGGAGGGCAAGUGCAGCACCAGCACCCACAAAAGAUGACGAUCUAAUUGCAAGGAUACUGGCACAAAACGAGAAAAGAUCAUCAAAGGUAAGCUCUAAUGAUGAUGAGGAUGGCUCCUGUGAGAGAGGUUUGCUGCUGAGCAAAAUAGAUAUGCUGGAAAAGGAGAACCGGAAAUUGAGAAGAGAGAAUGCUCAGUUAAGAACAACUUUUGGGUUGUUGGAAAAACUACCACAUCUGCUGGAGAAAGUGGAUUCACUUUCUGGGGCUCUGGAAGGGGGGCAGUUACCUUGUAGCAGCGCUAAACCAGCAGAUGUCUUGCCAAAACAGGGUGAAGUUCUUCAGCAGCAUGAAGGCCACAAACAGGCCGAUGACUCCACCCAC